GCAAGUCGAGCGGUAGAGUGACUUCGGUUGCUUGAGAGCGGCGAACGGGUGAGUAACGCGUACACAAUCUACCUUUAAGAGGGGAAUAGCCCUGGGAAACUGGGAUUAAUGCCCCAUGGCAUCAUUGACAUGGCAUCAUGUUAUGAUUAAAGCUGAGGUGCUUAGAGAUGAGUGUGCGUCUGAUUAGCUAGUUGGUGCGGUAACGGCUCACCAAGGCGACGAUCUAUAGCUGGUUUGAGAGGAUGAUC
rnacentral:rRNA from 1 species